rnacentral:rRNA from 1 species
CCUACGGGAGGCAGCAGUGGGGAAUUUUGGACAAUGGGGGAAACCCUGAUCCAGCAAUGCCGCGUGUGUGAAGAAGGCCUUCGGGUUGUAAAGCACUUUUAUUCGGAGAGAAAUCCCUUGGGCUAAUACCCUGAGGGUCUGACGGUACCGGAUGAAUAAGCGCCGGCUAACUACGUGCCAGCAGCCGCGGUAAUACGUAGGGCGCGAGCGUUAAUCGGAAUUACUGGGCGUAAAGCGUGCGCAGGCGGUUUUGUAAGACAGAUGUGAAAGCCCCGGGCUCAACCUGGGAAUUGCAUUUGUGACUGCAAGGCUAGAGUGUGUCAGAGGGAGGUGGAAUUCCGCGUGUAGCAGUGAAAUGCGUAGAGAUGCGGAGGAACACCGAUGGCGAAGGCAGCCUCCUGAGAUAACACUGACGCUCAUGCACGAAAGCGUGGGGAGCAAACAGGAUUAGAUACCCUGGUAGUCCACGCCCUAAACGAUGUCAACUAGUUGUCGGGAAUUAAAUUCUUGGUAACGCAGCUAACGCGUGAAGUUGACCGCCUGGGGAGUCGGCCGCAGGUUAAACUUAAAUGAAUUGACGGNNGNGAGNGCGAGACGACGACGAGGAGAGG